CCUACGUGAGGCAGCAGUGAGGAAUAUUGGUCAAUGGGCGCGAGCCUGAACCAGCCAAGUAGCGUGAAGGAUGACUGCCCUACGGGUUGUAAACUUCUUUUAUAAAGGAAUAAAGUGAGGCACGUGUGCCUUUUUGUAUGUACUUUAUGAAUAAGGAUCGGCUAACUCCGUUCCAGCAGCCGCGGUAAUACGGAGGAUCCGAGCGUUAUCCGGAUUUAUUGGGUUUAAAGGGAGCGUAGAUGGGUUGUUAAGUCAGUGGUGAAAGUUUGCGGCUCAACCGUAAAAUUGCAAGUGAUACUGGCAGUCUUGAGUACAGUUGAGGUAGGCGGAAUUCGUGGUGUAGCGGUGAAAUGCUUAGAUAUCACGAAGAACUCCGAUUGCGAAGGCAGCUUACUAAACUGCCACUGACAUUGAUGCUCGAAAGUGUGGGUAUCAAACAGGAUUAGAUACCCCAGUAGUC
rnacentral:rRNA from 1 species